rnacentral:lncRNA from 1 species
GCACAGGACAAGAAAGUGACCUCACAAUGACUCAAGCUACCACAUACUGUUGAUUGUGAAAUGCCAGUUGAAGCAUAUGUCCUGCGAGCUUAGGGGUGCUACAAGUUGACCACAGCAGCAGUAAAGAUGACUCUGAAGAAUGGCAUGGGAUGGAUCCUUUCGAAUGCAUUUGAGCAGCGGUCUCCAACCACAGGGCCACAGAGCUGGAGCUGGAUCUACCAUGAAAGACUUCUGAAUCCAGGAAGAGAGACUGACUGGGCAACAUGUUAUUCAGGGUCUCCCUCUGUUGUCCAAGGCUGGAGUGUAGUAGUGCUA